GACUAGUAAUAUCACACUUCUAUCAAUUUCAACCGUAACCCCCAAACUCCUUUCAACAUCAACACAAUUUCAAUUCAAAUCAAACACUUCAUAAACUACCUCAUUAAUCUCAACACAGAGACUUAUACUAAUCAUCCACAUUUACACCAAAAUUAAAAUAUUUAACUAUAUCCAUUUCAAACCAUAUUCGACUUUAGCUCGAAAACUUUAUGUACAUGCCAUAUUUUCCAAAAGUAAUUUUAUAUAACAUUUACAAAAUAUACCCCAAUGUAGUUAAUGAUGUAACUCUGACUGCGUUGAUGCAGAUCUUGAUCUGCUGCUACUUGGAUCCACAACCUGCGCGAGGAAAAAUAAAUUCCUACGCGCUAAGCAAUUUGCUUAGUGGUGCUCAACCUUUUUUUUUAUAAAUAAAAUAUUUAAAUCAACAUGCAUUUAACCACAGUAAAUUAAACAAAUACCAGUAAACUAUAUAGCAAAUAAUUUGAAAUAAAUCUAAAUCAUAUUAUUAUUUCACAUAUAUACAUAUUUUCAUUUCAUAAUCUUUUUCUUUUUCUUCAUUCUGUUGGCCCCUAUAAAUUUAAAUGGGACUGUUAAGUCAGAUAAGGAAACUGUAACUGUAGGGCACAAAGUGCCAAAUAACUGUAUGGCUCGAAAGCCGAGUCUAUAACUGUAUGGCUCAAAAGCCGAGUCUAUAAUUGUAGGGUACCUCAUUGUAUCCCAAAAAUCCGUGUAACUGUAGUGCAGUACUGCAAGAUCUGUAUAUGGCAUGUCACACCCUUAAACUAACUCACAAUUCCCACCAAACUUAAU
rnacentral:lncRNA from 1 species